rnacentral:lncRNA from 1 species
UUUACGGUAAAUCCUCUCAGAUGUCACGGACUAUUUCGAAAAUAUAUUUUUAGCACCAUAUUUUUUGCUAUAAGUUGAGUGUCAAAUACUAUCGAAACAUAGCUCUGAUUGUAAAAAAUUUAUUUUCCGACGACACAAGUGCUACAUCGGCCUACCGGAGUUGGAUGAGUCAGCAAUUUGCUGACGUGAAAUAUGAAAAAAAAAAAUUAAAAAUCCAGAAAAGAAAAUGAAAAGAUUCUGUAUACCUCUCCCUCUCCACCAUUACAACCACCGAUCCUCACAGAUCAAAG